rnacentral:tRNA from 1 species
CGGGAUAGCUCAGCUGGUAGAGCAGAGGACUGAAAAUCCUCGUGCCCCC